CGCAAGCUUGACCGAGCGACGCCGCGUGUGGGAUGAAGACCUUCGGGUUGUAAACCACUGUCGUAGGGGAGGAAAUUGAUCGGGGUUCUCCCCGGUCAUUGACCUAUCCUAGGAGGAAGGACGGGCUAAGUACGUGCCAGCAGCCGCGGUAAUACGUACCGUCCAAACGUUAUUCGGAAUUACUGGGCUUAAAGGGUACGUAGGCGGCGCUGUCAGUCGGGUGUGAAAGCCCUCGGCUCAACCGAGGAAUUGCGCCCGAUACUGCAGUGCUUGAGGGAGACAGAGGUAAGCGGAACUGAUGGUGGAGCGGUGAAAUGCGUUGAUAUCAUCAGGAACACCGGUGGCGAAAGCGGCUUACUGGGUCUCUUCUGACGCUGAGGUACGAAAGCUAGGGGAGCGAAGGGGAUUAGAUACCCCCGUAGUCCUAGCCGUAAACGUUGAGCACUUGAUCGAGGAUCCCCCCAUAGGUUCCCGGUCGUAGCGAAAGUGUUAAGUGCUCCGCCUGGGGAGUAUGGUCGCAAGGCUG
rnacentral:rRNA from 1 species